AUUGUACUCCCUCCGUUCUGAAUUACUUAUCGCAUGUGUGGAUGUAUCUAGAUGUAUUUUAGUUUUAGAUACAUCCAUUUCAGCGACACGAGUAAUUUGGAACGGAGGGAGUAUAUA
rfam:Triticum aestivum genome assembly, contig: Triticum_aestivum_CS42_TGACv1_scaffold_406481_5BL